rnacentral:lncRNA from 1 species
ACACACAGAGACACACCGCGACACACACACACACACGCGCGCAUACACACAGCCCGACACACACGCACGCGCGCUUCUUAAAGGAGACGGCUCAUAAAGGAUUCCCCACUACGCCAGCAGAGGGGAAGAGGAGCCCACGGGAAAGAAAAGCAGGCGAGGUUAAGAAUAAAGAGUGUUCCAGGAUAGCACAGAAGCAGAGACUUUAAGUCUAAACAGACCUAGAUUCAGAGCCGACCCGAUGCUGCUUGAAGAAGGCUGGAGGUAUGUUAAGGAGACAAGGGCUGUCAAGAAGCAGGGAUGUCUCUGGAAAGGUUCCCCUUGCUGCUGCCAUGUGAAGAAGGACAUGUUUGCUUCCCCUUCUGCCAUCAUUGUUAUUCAUGUUAGGCUCCUGAAAACACCACAAGGACCUACCCUCCGGGAGCCAGCCAGAGAACCCUUCUUCCUGCACUGUCUCCGUUAUGCCCAACAUUUCUGGGCAUAAGUUUUAAUAAACCUUACCUGGGAAAAGUUUGUUUGGCCUCGUGUUAAUUGCUAUUAUAUGGAGAGCCAAGAAUCUCGAACCAGUAAGAGUUGUGAAGUCACCCUCAAUAUUUCCCAAGUCUUCAAAGGAAUUGAGACACUAUAAUCAUUACCCAGGACUCCACGCUUGUCAAAUUUGUUGAUGACCUCCUACUUUGCAACCAAACUGAAUAGAAUGCUUGUAUAGACUCCCUAAUCCUUCUGAAGGUACUGACUGAGCAAGGCUACAAAGCCUCCAAAUCUAAAUGUCCAUGGGUACAGACAACUGACUUAUUUAGGCCAUAAAGCAUCUCGGAGCACUAAAAAACUCACAGUAAAAUAUCUUGAAGGAAUUUUGACAAUCUUUUCUUAAGAAGAAAGAAAAAAAACCAGAAAUUUUUAGAGGCAGCUGGUUAUUGCCAUCAAUGGAUUCUUAAUUUUGCCAUCCUAGCCAAGCCUUUAUAUGUUUUCCUCUCAGGUAUAACCUCAGAACCCCUUUUAUGGCCCUCUGAGACACUGGCCUCCUUUGAAGCAUUAAAAUAAGCAUUAUCUACACCCCCAGCUCUCAGUUUAUCCAAUUUUGACAAACCUUUUCAACAAUAUUGCCAUGAAAUUAAUGAGAUUGUUGCUAGUAUUCUAGAACAGCCGUUUGUCUCUCAAUUACUUUUUAUGGCAUAUUUCUUAUUUCGAUCAACCCUGUGACAUCAGGCAUGCCUCCAUGCCUGUGUGCGAAAGCCACAGCUGCCACCCUAAUGGAAAAAGCCUUUAUUCUUACAUUAGGCCUCCCUACUCACCUCUAUGUUACCCUUGAUGUGUCAGCGCUCUUACAAGCUCAUAAAACACAGCACCCUCUUUAUACAAUGGCAGACCACUGAUGAACAGGACCUAUUAACAAUUCUCUCUCUAUUGUAUCAUUGUAACACCCUGAACCGUGCUAUUCUAUUACUCCUCCUUGAUGAUGGACAGCCCAUUCUAUUCUACGUGAUUCCUUUGUAGCUAUAUAAAUGGUCUCAAAACUAUGAUUUUUUAGACAUCUUCUUAGACAGUCCAGACUUCUGUUUUGUCAUGGCUGUCAAGCAGAAUUCUCACCGAUACAUAGUAACUGACUGUGCCAUGGUUUCCUUAAAUGAAACACUUGAGACAAAUUCUGCCUUCUAUAUAAUCAGCCUGAACCACUGAGUCUAGAUCUUACACGAGCCUUGGCAAAGAGAAAACUGACACUAUUUACACUUGAGAUGUGCUUUGGACUCUGCCAUACUGUUGGCUGUAUUGAAAAGUCCCGUUUCUGACCUCUGCUGGUACCCCUAUUGCCAAUGGCCAUGUAAUUGUUAACCUAUUACGCCUAUUCAUCUUCUAAUUGAGGUUGCUUUUGUUUAUUGUUGGCACAUGCCAAGGAGACUGACACUGUAUCUCUGGUAGACAAUACGUCUGACAAAGCUGCCAAACAUGAACCCCCAACUCUGGCAAUAACCCAUUUUUUAACCCAGCUUACAACCCUGCCUUUAACACUUACUGACGUCAAUAAUAUUUGGCAGAUACCCUACAAUGAAAAAAAAGGCUGCAAGAAGAUUCCAGACAAUUGUUAGAAGGAUUAUACGUUGGACCAAAUGGACUUCCUAUAGUCCUUUAUCUUUUAUUGUUUUGUGCUUCUAUUUAUUGCCCAUCAAAUGGAAUAUAUGUGUAAAGAAGGGCAAAUCAAAGAGGUAAAUGACAGUGAUUUUGCCCUGGAAUCCACAGAAUUUCUGAUCAAAUUAUUUACCAAUGUAUUACUUGUAAAUCUUAUGAUAUUUCUGGAUGUAAGUAGCAUACCCCAUGAAAUCCUCUGAGACCCACAUUCCCUUUGCAACACUCCUGGUGGACUUUAUAGAUUUCCCUCAGGAUUCAGGUUAUUCUCAUUAUAGGUUGACUAUACCUAAUCUGAAAAUCCAAAAUCUGAAAUGAUACAAAUCCAAAACGUUAUGAGUGUUGUCAUAAUGCUCAAUGGAAAUGCUCAUGAAAGCAUUUUUUAUUUAAGGUCUUUGGAUUAAGGAUGCUCAUCCAGUAAAUAUGAUACAGCUAUUCCAGUGUCCAAAACUAUCCCAAAUCUGAAACACUUCUGGUCCCACCCAAGCAUUUCAGAUAAGGAAUACUCAACUCAUAAUUGGUGAUUACCUGCACAGUUAGUAGAUGGACUGAGUACUAUCCAACUAGACAUGCUGAUGCCACAUGGUAGUAAUGAAAAAAAAAAUUGAGAUUAUUCUUCAUUUUGGCAUUACUUAAUGUAUUAAAUCAGACCAAGGAACUCACUUAACAACAGAAGUAAAUCACAUGUUCACAAAAACUCUAGGAUAGUCAUUAAAAUUCUAUACUCUUUACCAUCCUCAGUCCUCAGAGAGGUGGAAUGUGAUAAUUUAGACAGCAAAAGAACUAUAAAAUAUGUCAGUACAAUAGACCUAAGUGGCCAGAAGCAUCACCCCUGACCCCAAUAAAAUCUGGAAAACCCCAAACAAGAGAGAUGGAUUAACUGCUUUUUGAAUAAUUUUUGAUAGCUUUAUGCCUAUUAGCAUCUCCAAACUUUUUGUUCCUGAAGUGAGUGAGCAUUAUGGGGACCUGAGUGAAAGGUUCAGUAUUAUGACUAGAUAUCUAAAAGAACUAUCUCUUGUACUUGGAGCUUACCAUUAACAGGCAAAAAAGUCAUGGCCAUUGUCUACCAACAAGCUUUCUAUCCCUUUUGACCAAGCUAUCAAGUAUACAUCAAAAUUUUGACAAGAAAGCAUACACUGUCAUCUUUCUGGGAAGUACCUUGUGAAGCAUUGCUGAACACCUACAUGGCCAUCAAAAUAAAAAGAAAUAUUUCCUGGAUUCAUGCAAGUCAUGCCAAGCUAGACCCAGAUCAUAAUUUCCAGAAAAAUUGAAAAGCUAUUCUUACAGCUGACUUCAAACCAAGGAUUUUCAGGGCCAAUUCACAGGGUCCCAAAGCAGAUGACAACAUAAAGUGGACUAUUUUUUCCAAUAUCUUGGAUCAAGAACUACCUUUCCACCUAUUUUCCCUUGAUAUCUUUCUCUUCUCUGACCAAAGGAAAAAAAAGUAAAUAAAAACCUUAAAAACCUCUUUGAGCUUUAAACAGAAACCUUCCCCUUUAUUUAUUGAUGGACUGUCUAGAGAUUGCUACUUUUUUCUUCUUCUGUUUCUUCACAAUGAGAUAUUUUCUAAACUGUGUCUUGCUUCAACUAACCCUUAUGGCUUUUUUUGACAAUUCUAGCAUAAAUCCAGCACCUACUCGCGCCAGUCUUCUAAACACUGGCAACUUUCAUCAAUCCGAAUUUUGGUUAUGUCAACAUAUCGGUAUACAGAAGAAGCUAACUAGUUUUUGUUUCUGCCAAUGCAAACACCUGGUGGACACAGACUGGACUAUGGAUGUACAAAAGGGUAUGGUAUCUACAAACAGGAAGACAAAAAUCAUGCCACCUCUCUUUCUGGUAAACUGAUUUGGCGCUUGGAAAAUUCCAUGGAAGCUCAAGUUCUAUUCUUUGUUCAGGUGAUGUUAUUGAAUGGACAAAUUUCCCUUUUCAUUGGAAACAGAAAUGGUACUGGACCCUUUCUAGCAACCAACACAGCUUCUCGUUUGUAAAACUUCUCAAGAUGUUUCAAAAUGGAAGAAAUACCAAAACCCACAAAGAAUCCUUGAGUUGGUAUGGUUAUUUUUAGUUGAGGACAUUUGAGAUUCCACAGAUGCAGAAAAGAAUCUUCUCAGAGCUUCCUUCUUCUGAUUAAAAGCAGCCACUUCUGGGAAAUAAGGCUGGCAUAAAUCCUCUCUUGAGAGUGGCUUUACUCCCAGAAACAAGACCAAGGGUAAAUCUACCAUAAAUCCCCUCUCCAGGGGAGUUUGAUGGCCAUAAAGAAGAUGAAAAGAGUUCUCACACCUGCAUAAACAAAUGUUAUCACAAACUUUCUUAUCUCUUGUUUGUUCUCCCAAAAAACUAUUUGUCUUUCCUAAAGAAAUCCAUUUGUUUUCCUUAUAGAAGUCUUUUCUCCCGGCUUGCUUCUCCUAUUAAGUUAGAUAUAUAAACUUCUAAUUUAACUUUUAGGAAACUACUUCUUUUGUAAGCUCUUGUAUGCAAAUAAACUGUUUUAUUCUCUUGUUAAUGUGUAUUUUCACAGCAUAUCCUCCACCCAGAUCCUGAAUUUGAGAGGGUAGAGGAAAAGUUUUCCUCUCCAACACUUUCGUUCUCUGUCAAUGGCUUCACUGGAUUGCUAGUCUUCCUAUUAAAAGCGGCAAUUUAUUCUUCCAAAGUUAGUUUCUAAAUAAUAUUCCAUAGAAUUUUCUUUUUAAAUAACCAGGUAAUACCUACGUUGACAUCAAGAGAGCACCAUGGUCAGUAAUUUUAAUACCCCAGGAACAUACUUUUAAGUAUACAUUGUUUUUCAACCAAUAUUGGAAAGGGAAAGUUCCAAACCAUACUAAUUGGACCUACAUUGAACAUGGUAAAUUCCUCCUCAAAUAGUUGCUAAUGGUUUGCUGGGACAGUACUUCCCAUCUGUAAUAACUCUUAAAAUUAAAUUACUAAUAUCUUUGGAUUUCUGGAUCAUCUUUUACUUAAUAUCCAAAAAUAAAUUGUGAGGUUUUUUUAAAUGCCUGGGUAAAAUUCUGAAAUAGUAGUUUAUUUCAAUUUUGAUAGCUGCUGAGAUUCACACUAGCUUUUCUUCAGUCGACACAGUAAACAAUAAAACUUCAGCAAAACUGGAAAAUAUAAGAACCCCCAAUAUAUAGUCCCCCAAAGGAUCCAGCAGGUUAUAGAGUCCAAAGCCCUUAUUUUAUAAAUGAGUAAACUGAAGACAAAAGCACCAAUGUAGUUGCUUGAAGGUUAUAAAAUGGCAGGGAUACAUGUAUGUGUAUAUAUAUAUAUAUAUAUAGCUCCUUAAAAUGUAGACUUUUGAAAGAUCAGAGGAUUUGAAUAUGUUUACAUGUCAAGUGAUUUUCUAAAGCUUUGGCUACUGAAUUGGCUCUGAGUCAGCAUGGCCCUUUGCCAUAUCAAAUAAGAAAAAUCACAAACAGAUGACUAACUUACAUAAUGCAUUUCUUUUGGAGCGAGGUCCUUGGCAACAGGAAAGGGUAAUAGUGAUUUUAAACAUUGACUCUUCAGUGAAGAAGGUCACUGUGUGGUCAUGGAUGAGGAAAGUAAUAAGAUAAUGUUGAUGGCUUUUCUGACUUAGCAUGCCUACAAGAAAUCAGAAUUCUGGGUGAUGACACAGUCUGUCUAUCUUAAGUAAUCUUAACUGGGCAUCAGGCCAUCAAUCUUGAAAACAUAGGUUAAAGCUCUUUGAACAUUGAUUAUAACUAAGAGCAGCUGACUUUUUCACUGCACCAUAAACCUCUUAUGACUCUGACUCAUCAGAUGAUUUGGAAAAGGUGUACUCACUGACAAAGAAAAAGAGAAAAUAUAGAUGAGUUAAGUCACUUUAGUCCCAGAGGAGGACAACUGAGCAUUAAUAACAUUUUAGAAUUUAUUUUCUGCCUGGGGUCAAAUGACCAAUUUCAGACAGCAUUUCAAAUUCUUUUUUUCAGCAUGGCAGAGAAAAGUACAUCAGAGCCUCACCAGAGCCUGAAUACUUUCAACCCAGUUGAAUAGUUUAUGCAAUUAAUUAUGGCUUUUAAUAGAAAUGUAUUCACUUUUACCUUGAGAGGAUGAGAGGACAUCCUAGAAUAUGGGUGAAAGUCCUAUAACCAACACCUAUGUGAUAAAUGGAUUUACAUUAGGUAUUUAGUCCCUAACUUGGCAUUCUACCUCCUUCAUCACCAAAUUUUAUUUCUUCACCAGUACUCUUUCUCAAACCAUUACUCAAUGACAAUUCAGGCCAUAUAAACUCAAACUUUUGUGAUCUGCAUGUCUAUGCUUUAAGUUUCACUCUUUACCGUUCUGUCACUUUAAUAAAUAUUGAUAUAGCAUUCCCAACCCAAAUUGUACAUCCUUUGAAACUUUGACUAAAUGGGUAAUAAUUAUGACAAUAUUUAUAAUAAAUAAUUAUAAGAGCAUAUUAUCAGCAACUGUAUUCCACAAAACUGGAUUAUAAAGAAAAACUGAAAAAUUCCUGAAAACACAUAAAUUAGUGAAACUGGCUCAAAAAGAGAUAGAACAUCUCAACAGACCUAUACUAACUAAAGAGAUUGAAUCAAUAAUUAGAAACCUUCCAUCAAAGAAAAGCCCUGGACCAGAUGUGUUCACACGUGAAUUCUAACAAAGAGUUAAAGAAGAAUUAAUAUGCAUCUUUCUUAAACUUUUCCAAUAAAUGGAAGAGGAGGAAACAUUUUCUAAUUCAUUUUAUGAGGCCACCAUUACUUGGAUACCAAAGCGAGAUAAUAAAAUAACAAGAAAAUAAAAUUACAGACUAAUAUCUCUUACAAAUAUAAAUGCAAAUAUCUAUCCUCAAUAAAGUAUUAGCAAAUCUAAUCCAACAAUAUAUUCAAAGUAUUAUUCAGCUCAAUCAAGUGGGAUUAACAGAGAAAACCAAGGGUGCGUCAAUAUAGGAAAAUCAAUCCAUGUAAUACAUCACAUAAAUAGAAUAUAGGUAAAAAAGAAACACAUGAACAUUUCAAUAGAUGCAGAAGCAGUAUUUAACAAAAUUGAGGAGAAUUUCAUGAUAAAAACUCUCAGAAAACUUAGAAUAGAAUAAUUCAGCCAUAUGAUAAAGGGCUCUUAUGAAAAACACAUAGCAAAUAUAAUAUUCAGUGGUGAAAUGGAAGGCUUUACCCCUAAGAGUAGGAAGAAGACAAGAAUGCCCGCUUUCACCACGCUAUUAAGCAUGGUACUGGAAGGCCCUACCAGAGCUACUACAAAAGAAAAAAAAAAAGAGAGAGAGAAAAAGCAUUUAUGUUGAAAAAAAAAUCAGGUUAAAACCAUCUCUAUUUAUAGAUGUCAUGGUCUUAUACCUAGAAAAUCCCAAAGAACCUAGUAGAAAUCCCCAAUAGCUAAUAAAUGAAUUCAGCAACAUUGCAGUAUAAAAUUCAAUAAAGAAAAAUCAGUUGAGUGUUUAUAUGACAACAUGACCAACCAAACAGAAAAUUAAGAAAGCAAUUCUCUUUGCAAUAAAGUCUAAAGUAGUUAAAUACUGAGGAAUAGAUCUAACCAGGUAGGUGAAAUACUUGUAUUUUGAAAGUUAUGAAUAUUGCUGAAAGAAAUUAAAUAAGACAUGAGUAAUAAAGAUUUGUGUUUAUGGACAGGAAGACUUAACAUUAUUAAUGUGUUAAUGCCACAUAAAGUGAUCUACAGAUUCAAUGCAAUCCCUAUACAAAUUAUAACAGGCUUUUUCAUAGAAAUGGGAAAAAUGCCCUCAAAUUCAUAUGGAUUUUUAAGGGGCCCCAAAUAGUCAAUUAUAUAAAGAAGAAAAAUAAAGCUGGAGGACUCACAUUUCCUGACUUUGCAAUGUACCGUAAAGCCAUAGUACUUACAACAGUAUGGUGUUGGCAUAAAGACAAACAUGUAGACUAAUAAAAUGUAAUAGAAAGCACAAAAAUAACCCCUGCAUACUUAGUCAAAUUAUCUACAAGUAUGCCAAAACCACUCAAAGAAUGAAAGGACAAUCUUUUCAAUAAAAGGUGCUGGAAAAACUAUAUGUCCACAUACAAAAGAAUGAAUUUGGAUCCUUACCUUACAACAUAUACAAAAAUUAACUCAAAAUUAUCAAAAACUGUAAUAGCUGCAACUACAAAAGUCUUAGAGGAAAUCAUUGGGGAAAAUCUUCAUGACACUGGAUUUGGUAAUGAUUUCAUUGAUAUGAUACCAAACACACAGGUAAGAAAAAAAUACAGUAAAGUUGAACUUCAUCAAAAUUAAUAAUUUUUGUUUAUCAGAGGACACUAUCAAAAAAGUUAAAAGAUUCUGGUUGCUAAUAUUUUGUUGAGGAAUUUUGCAUCUAUGUUCAUCAGGAUUAUUGGCCUGAAGUUUUCUUUUUUUCAUUGUGUCUCUGUCAGAUUUUGGUAUCAAGAUGAUGCUGGCUUUGCAGAAUGAGCUAUGGAGGAGUCCUCCUCCUCAAUUUUUUUUGAAUAAUUUCAGUAGGAUUGGCACUAGUUUUUCUUUGCACAUCUGGUAGAAUUUGGCUGUAAGUCCAUCUGGUCAAGGGCUGUUUUGGUUUGUAGGAUUUUUUAAAUUACUGAUUCAGUUUAAGAACUUGUUAUUGGUCUGUUUAGGUUUCUACAUUCAUCUCGGUUCAAUGUUUCCAAGAAUGUAUCCAUUUCCUCUAGAUAUUUGACUUUGUGUGCAUAAAGGUGUUCAUAAAUGUCUCUGAAGAUCUUUUGUGUUUCUGUGGGAUGGAUUAUAAUGCAUAUUCUCAUAUAUAAGUGAGAGCUAAACAUAGAGUACACAUAAACAUAAAGAUGGGGACACUGGGGAAUAAUAGAGGGGGAAGAGAGGGAGAGGAACAAAGAUGAAAAACUACCUAUGGGGUACUAUGCUCACUACCUGGGCAAGGGGUUCAAUCAUAGCCCAAGCCUCAGCAUCACACAAUAUACCUUUAUAACAAACCUGCACUUAUACACCCUGUUUCUAAAAUAGAAGUUGGACAAGAAAAAAUGAUGCGCAGUAUAAAUUAUUUAAAUGUUUUGCAGAAAGUUUAUACAAUUUAUUUCCUACUAGUUUACUGUGAUUUUUUUAGAUACCAUGAUUGCUAUGAAUGAUGGUAACUUAUAAGGUGGUCACAGGAAUGGAAGUGGAUAAAAGGUGAUGAAAUUGAGACAUGGAAGCCAAAACCAAAAGGAUCAUAUAUUGAUGUGGUUUUGGGAGGUUAAGAGAUGACAAGAUUGAUUCUGGCUUCUGCUACUGGGAAAAUGUUUGUUUUCUGGUUUGUUUAUAGAGAACAAGAGAGAAAAAUAAAAAUAAAAAAACAAGGAUAUGCCCCCCCUUAAAAAGUUAAAAAAGUUAAAAGAAAACCUGUAGAAUGAGAUAAAGUAUUUAGAAAUUAAGUAAGUGAUACAAGAUUAAUAUCUAGGACAUAUAAAACGCACUUAAAACUCAACAAUAAUGACAAUAACAAGAAAAAAAGUUCAAAAAGGCCAAAGCACUUGAGCAAACACUUCUUUAAAGAUACACAAAUGGACAAUAAGCACUUGAAAAGAUGCUCAACCUCGUUAGUUAUUAGGGAAAUGCAAAUCAAAACCAAAUAAGAUACCACUUCAUACCUACUAAGAGGGCAACUACAAAAACCCCUGAAAAAUAACAAGUGUUGGUGAGGAUGUGAAAAAAUUGACACCCUCUUGCAUUGCUGGUUGGAAUGUUAAAUGGUGCAGCCACUGUGGGAAACAGUUCAGCACGUUCUAAAAAAUGUUAAAAAUAUAAUAAUCAUAUGACCCAGAAAUUUCACUACUAGGUAUGUAUCCAAAGCAAUUCCACUAUUAGGUAUGUAUCCAAAGUAAUUGAAGCAGGGAAGAGAAACCCAUACAGCAAUGUCCUUAGCAGCAUUAUUCAUAAUAGCCAAAAGGUGGAAACAACUCAAGUGUCCAUUAACAGAUAAUAAAUAAGCAAAAUGUGGCAUAAAGACACAAUGGAAUACUAUUCAGCCAUAUAAAGAAUUCUUUUCCUACUUUAUUGAAAUAUAGUUGGCAGUUAAAAAUGUUAUAUAUACACACACACAUAUAUAUAGAGAGUACAACUAGAUGAUUUAGUGUAUGAAUGUAAUAUAUGAAUACAUUCCGAAAUGUUAUCACAAUGAACUAAAUUAACAUAUAUAACCUCACAUAUUUACUUUUUUGUUAUGAAAACAAGAUUUAUCUUCUUAGUAAAUUUCAAGUACACAAUAGAAUACUAUUAACUAUAGUCACAUUGUUGUACAUUAGAUCUUCAGAACUUACUUAUCUCACAUAACUAAAACUUUGUACCCCUUGAUCAAUAUCUCCCCAUAUCCCUUUCCUCCAGCCCCUGGUAACUACCAUUCUAAUUUUUGUUUUAUGGGUUUGACUUUUUCAGAUUCCACAUGUGAGCUUAUGCUGCAUUUGUCUUUCUGUGUCAGGCUUGUUUCACUUAGCAUAAUACCCUCCAGUUGUAUGCAUGUUGUCAUAAAAGGCAUGAUUUCUUUCUUUUCUAAAACUGAAUAAUAUUUCAAUGUGUCUGUAUAUGAGUAUUUACAGAAAUGUAAUUAUUUUUGUAUUUUGAUUUUAUAACUUGCAAUUUUACUAAAGGUGUAUCAGUUCUAACAGUUUUUAAAAAAUAUUUACAGUUUUCUACAUAUAUGAUUAUGUCAUCAACAAAUAGAAAUGAUUUUUUAUUUGGAUGCCAUUUAUUUCUUUUUCUUGUCUAAACGCUUUGGCUAGGUCUUUCAGUGCUAUUUUCAAAAGAAGUGAAUAGAGUGGAAAUCUUUACCUUGGGCCAUAUCUUAGAGGAACAACUUUUGUGUGUUCCCCAUUAAUUAUGAUGCUAGCUGUGGGCUUUUCAUAUAUGGCUUUUAUUGUGCCUUCUAAAACUAUAGACAGUCCUCCAUAUCCCUGGGUUGCACAUCUCUGGAUUCAACCAUGGAGAGAAAACAUAUAAUUUGUGGGAUGCAAAAUUUGCAGAUUUGAAAGGGCGAUGUUUGUAUCCGCAGUUCUGCAAGUGCCGACCGUGAGACUUGAGAAACCAUGGAUUUUUAUAUCCACAGAAGGUCCUAAAACCAAUUCCCCUCAGAUACUAAGGGACAGUUGUAUUUUGCUAAUUGUUUUAAUCAUGAAUGGAUGUUGAAUUUCAUCAAAUGUGUUUCCUGCAUCUAUUGAGAUAGCCAUUUUUUAAAAAUUUUAUUAAUGUUUUAUAUCACACUGAUCGAUUUUUGUAUGUUGAACAAUCCUUGAAUUCCAGGGAUAAGUCCCACUUGGUCAUGGUGUGUGAUGCUCUGAAUUUAGCAGAAUUUGGUUUGCUUGUAUAUUAUUUAGUACUUUUAUUUUAUGUUUAUUAGAAAUAUAUUGUGGUUUUCUUUUCUUGUAAUGUUUGUCUUAUUUUGGUAUGAGGGUGAUUCUGAACUCAUAAGUUUGGAAGUUUUUGAUCAUUUCCUAUUUUUGGGAAAAAUUUAAGAAGGUUUGGUGUUAAUUCCUCUUUGAUGUUUGUUAGAAUUCAUCUAUAAAGCCAUCUAGUCUUGGGUUUUUAUUUGUUAGGAGAUACUUGACUAUUGCUUUAAUCUUCUUAAUUUUUUUAUCUGUUCCUGCUUUUUAUUUCAUCUUGAUUUUAUUUUGUUAGGUUAUAUAGCCCUAGGAAUUUAUUCAUUUAUUCUAAGUUAUGCAACUUGUUGGGAUAUGAUUAUUCAUAAUAUUCCUUUAUGAUCAUUUUUAUUCCUGAGACAUAGAUUGUAGUGUCUUCUCUUUCAUGUCUGGAUUUUAUUAUCUGAGUCCUCUCUCAUUUUCUCUUAGUCUAACAAAGGGCUUAUUUUUUCUAAACACCAGCUCUGGAAUUGUUUCUUCUUUUCUAUUUUCAUAAAAUCUCUAUUGUACUUAUUUGUGAUCUACUCUUGAUUGUUUCCUUUCCCCCACCCCCCCAUGACAUUAGGUUAGUUUGUUGUUAUUUUUCUAGUUAUUUGUGAUGUUAAGUUAAAGUGUUUAUUUGAGGUCUUUUUUCUUUUAUAAAGUAAGUGUUUAUCACUGUAAACUUUUCUCAUAUUACUCUUGUACUUUUAUUACUGCUUUUGCUUUAUCUCAUAGGUUUUGGUAUGUUGUAUUGUCAUUUUUAAUUCUAUUUUGAUUUCCUCUUUGACCCAAUGAUUGUUCAAACUAUGUGUUUAGUUUACAAGUAUUUGUGAAUUUUCCAGUUUUCUUCCUGUUAUUCGUUUUAAGUUUCAUUCUAUUGUGGUCAAGAAAAAAUACUUGGAAUGAUUUCAAUAUCCUUAAAUUUGUUAAGGUUUAUUUUGUGACCUUAUAAGUGAUCUAUACUGGGGAAUAUUCCAUGUGUUCUUGAGAAGAAUGUGUAUUCUUAUGCUGUUUGUUGGAAAGUUCUGUUUGAGUGUGUUAGUUCCAUUGGUCUACACAUUGUAGAAGUCUGUUGUAUCUUUCUUGGUUUUUUGUCUAAAUGUUCUAUUCAUUAUUGUAAGUGGAAUAUCAAAAGUCCCCUGCUGUUAUUAUAUUGCUGUCAAUUUCUGUCAUCAGAUCUGUUAAUAUUUUCUUCACAUAUUUGCAUGCUUUGAUAUUGGGGGCAUAUAUAUUUAUGAUUGUUGUAUCUCCCUGUUGAAUUAAUCUUUUAUCACUAUAUAAUGUUUUUCUUUGUCUUUAGAGACAGGUUUAGAAUUAAACUAUAUUUUAUCUGAUAUAAGUGUAGUCACACCUGCUUUCUUUUCAUUAUCUAUUGCAUGGAAUAUAUUUUUCUAUUCCUUCACUUGCAGCCUAUGUGUGUCUUUAAGUCUAAAGUGAGCCUAUUGUACACAUAUCUGUGAAUUUUUUUUCUGUAUAACCCCUCUAGGCCUUUUGAUUGGAGAGUUUAGUUCAUUUUCAUGUAAGGUGAUUAUUGGUAAGUUUGGCCUUACUAUUGCCAUUUUGUUCAUUCUUUUCGAUCUAUUUUUCAUUUGUUUCUCUAUUCUUUUUCUUCUCUUGCUGUCUUAUUUUGUUAUUUAAUAAUUAUUUAACAUUUUACUUUGAUUAUUUUCUCUUUAUCUUUUGUAUAUCUAUUACAGAUUUUUCUUUGUGGUUGGCUUAAUGUUUGUAUACUGUAUCUUAUUCUGAGAUACUAUAAGUUGUAUCUUAUAGUUAAGCCUUCUAUUUUAAGUUGGUAACAACUUAACCUCAGUUAAGAAUGAAGUUAAAACUACAGUUUUACUUUCUCCUUCAGCUUUGUGUUAUUGUAGUCAUGAUUUGCUUUUAUUAAUAUUGUGUAUGCAUUAAAAAAUUCUCAUCUUUUAACUUCUAUAUUAGAAUUAAAAUAAAUUAUGCAUCACCAUUAAUGCGUAAGAAUGAGCUGUAUAUGGUUAUAUAGUUACCUUCCCCAGUAAAAUUUAUGCUUUCAUAUGCUUUUGUAUUGUUGUUUAGUAUGGGUUUAUUUCAAUUUGAAGAAUUUAUUUAAGCAUGUCUUGUAAAGCAUGUUUAGCAGUGUUGAACUCCCUCAGUUUUAGCUUGGGAAAGUUUUUAUCUCUCCUUUCUUUCUGAAGGACAUAUUUCCUGAUAUUCUCGAAUGGCAAUUUUUUAUUUCAGUACUCUGAAUAUGUCAUCUUAUUUUCUGCUGGUUUGUGAGGUUUCUGUUGAGAAAUCUACCAACAGUCUUAUAGAGAUUCUCUUAUAUGUGAUGUUAUGCUUUUUUAGUCCCUUUCAACAUUUCCUUUUUGUCCUUGACUUUAGACAAGUUGGCCAUAAUGUAUCUCUGAAGAUCACUUGAUGUUCAGCUUAUUUGGGGUUUAUGGGCAUAAUGGAUUUGGAUGCCUGUUUCUCUGCACACUUUGAGGAAUUUUCCAUCAUUUAAAAAAAAUUAGUUUUGGCUCCUUUCUUUUUCUCCACUCUUUCUGGGAAUUUCAUUUAUAUGUAAAUUGUUUCACUUAAUGGUAUCCCAUAAGUUAUAUAGGCUUUCUUCACUUAUUUUCAUUUUUUUCUUCUUUUCAUUCCUCUAACUGGAUAAUUUUAAGAGAUCUCUCUUCAAGUUAACUGAUUCUUUCAUCUGCAUGACUGAGUUUUCUGUUGGGGCUCUCUAUUGAAAUUUUCUGCUCCAGAAUUUCUGUGUCUUUUAAAAUUGUUUCUUAUUAUAUAACUUCUAAUUUUGUUCAUGCAUUGUUUCCCUGAUUUUGUUUAGUUGAUUUUCUUUAUUCUCUUGUAGCUCACUGAGCUUUCCUAAUAUUUUUUUGAAUUCUUGGUCAGGGAAUUGAUAAAGCUCCAUUUUUGGGGUGGUCAGUUACUAAAAAAUUAUUGUGUUUCUUUGGUGGUGUCGUGUUUUUUUACUUUUUUUGUUUAUUAUAACCUUGCAUUGAUGUCUUCCUAUUUUAGGGAAUAGUCACCUCUUCCUCACUUUACAUACUUCUCUCUGUGUGUGUGUGUGUGUGUGUGUGUGUGUGUGUGUUGGAAGCUAUUCACCUAUUGGUGGGUACAAGGGCACUGGCUAAAAAGUGUGUGGUAGCCUAGUUUCCAUGCAGCUCCAUCAGCUGAGGUCAGUGUCAGCAUAGACUCAGGGAGAUCUCAUUAGCCAAGGCUGUGGGCAUUCUUUUACUCUCCUGACAUAGCUAGGAAUUUUGAGGUCCUUAAUGGUGAAGGCUGUUGCAGUUCUCUUGUUUUAUUUUACCUCCACAGGGUGAAUUUAUGGCUGAGGGAAUUCAUUAUGGUGCUGGUUCCAGCAUUUGAGUGUGCUUUUGGUGGCAGUGAUGCCAGUGUGUGAGGCACAAAAUUGCCCAGAAUGGUUGCAGAAUUAGGGUCGGAAGCAUGAGCAUUAACAGAGUGACCAUGGCCAGAGACUAUGGUGUGGGCUUGCCACCUGUGGUGCUCCUGUCAGAUGUGGGCAUACAUAGAGUGGGUGCAGAGACAGGAUCCUAAACACAGAAGGGAGUAGAGUAACAGCAAUGCUGGAGUUUGAAUGUGCAUGUUUUUGCAGGGGGAUAGACGAGUGGGUGCUGGUUCUGGCCCAGGGUGGUGAAGUGUUUCCACAGCAACUUUGAUGGCUACUGAGCUCCUCAGCAGCAACAACUGCUAGAGUCUUCCUGCAGGCCACUGGGGACCAUAGUAUCACUUGCUGCAUGGCUGAAACUGUUUGGCCCUGCCCUUUUUCUUUGUUUUCAGCUUCUCCAGACAUCUCAUCUAUAUUGAUCUUUCUGGUAGUCUGGUUGGUAUACAACCAAAAUGGACCCUUCAAGCAGUGACCCAAAAGGCCAGGGCAGCUAGUCAUUUGCCCUACUUUCUUUUUCACCAUGAGGGAAAAUCAUGGGCUGAGAGUUUCUUUUCGAGGCUGAACUGUCCCAGGCUGGAGGAUAGGACGAUGCAGGCAAAAAAACUCUUUCCCCUAUUUUUUCUGUGUAGUUAUUUUUUUUCCUUCAAUGUGUUGCUGCAGCUUUUUAUCUGAACUGAACUCAUCCAGAUCUAUUUUCAUCCAAAGAUAGCUGUCUAAUUGUUGUUUCUACGGGGAGACAAAGGUUGGGGUAGCCUACUUCACCACAUUGCUAAUGUCAUGGAAAGAAUACAAUUUUGAUAUAAGCUUCAACAUGGAUAAACCUUGAAAGAAUUUUGCUUAGUAAAAUAAGCCAGAUACAGAAGAUAAAUAUUGUAUGGUUCCAUGUUUGUCAGAUACUUAGAAUAAACAAAUUCAUAGAAACAGAAGGGAGACUAUAAAUUACUAAGGGUUGAAGGGGUUGUUGAGGGGAGAAGGGAGAGUUAUUGUUUAACGGGUACAGAGUUAUUGUUUAAUGGGUACAGGGUUUAUACACCAAACCAUUCUAGUGAAUACAUUAAAAAUCAGAAAAGGAAUAUACACACCUAAAACACUUAUCAAUACCAGACUAUAAAUUACUAAGAUGAAAUUGAGAGCUAUUGGUGAGUUGGGGAUGAUAAAACAUUUGGGGGUAUAGAUAAUAGUGUGGGUUGACAGCAUUGUGAAUAAAUUUAAUGCAACUAAAUUGUAUAUUUACAAAUGGCUAAAAUUACAUCAUGUUUUAUAUAUAUUUUUCCACAAUAACAAUGCGAUUUAUCAGUUUCAUAAAUAUUUGGAAAAAAUAAUAGGGGAUACUCAUACCUCAAUGAAUAAUUGUAGAUGGUGUCAAGGUUUAUUUCUAUUUUGUUCUUACCUUCAGGGAUCUUCAGUCAAGUGAGGAAGAUAGUCAUAUGUUUAAAAAAUGGCUUUUUUCCUGAACCUUGUUAAUUCCAGAUAAUUCUACUAUCAUAUCAAUAUUUCUGUCUUUUCAUGCUAUAUCUUCCCUGCUUUAUCUAGCAGACAGUUGAAACAAGGAAAUGAGGGCUUGUAGUAUUUGUGUAUUAGACUCUUAAGUUAAUCCCUAUUUUGACUACCUUUCCCCCUUCAAAUCUUAAAUAGGAUAUAAUGACUGAUCUUAGGAAUAUACUAUAGAGGAUCUUAUCUUAUCUUAUCACAUCUAAUGAAAACUGAUAGCACUGAAAAAAUAUUUAACUACAUAUUGUACCCAAAGUUAAAAUGUCUUAUACUGUCAGAUAAAUAGUUCAAAAAGGGCUAUAGUCAUAUUUUAAUUAGUAAUUUUCCUGUCAACUAUAAAAUAUCACUGUCAUUAUUCAGAAAAUUGUCUCAUAGUAACAAAAUCUAUAAUUUCAUAGUAAUACUUUCACUUGACAGUCACAUUCAUUUUCUCUUUCUCUAAGGGAUAGUAUUACAGGCUUUGAAAGUUAAACAUAAAACUAUCUUUAUGUUUUGUGAACACUAACAUAAAAACUAUUCUAAUAAGAUAGCUUGUGAAUAUAUAAGCUGUGUUUAUAUACUGUGCCAUCACUAUAUGUUUACAUGUUUAUAAAAUCUUUUCAUUUAUAAUGACAUAUUAUGUUCUAGAGAUCAUUAUAGACCAUUUAAGAAGAUAUCUUGUAGGUAUUACAAGCUUCAAAAUAACACAAAAGUACAUUUCAUUUUUUGGCAAAACACAGCAUUUUCAUGAUAAAAUAUCUUAUAAUGCAUACAUAAAAAAUAGAGAAAUACACUGCAUUUUUGAGUGAGUAAACAAGAGAAGAUAUAUGUGCCAUUGGCAAAGAGUGUUCUGUUUAAGUUUGGUUUAUUAUACACAAUGAAUUAGUAUUUUUUAGCUUCCAUAUGCUAUGCCUUAUUUUAAUGUUCAUAAUAUGAUCUUGAGGAAGAGAAAAUAUGCUGAAUGCCUACUGAAUUGCUACAUAAAAAUUAGAUUUGCUUCAGUGUAAUGUUAUCGAUAAUUAUAUUAUUGUACAAACAUUAUAUGUCUUCUGAACUCCUGUGAGAACUCAUCAAUACCUCUCAUUUGCAUCUUAGUAAUUUAUAGUCUGGUAUUGAUAAGUGUUUUAGGUGUGUAUAUUCCUUGUCUGAUUUUUAAUGUAUUCACUAGAAUGGUUUUGUGUACAUGGUGCUGACUACACAUAGUUAAUCAAUAAGUAGCUGUUGAUUUGAAUUCACCUUCUAACUCUAAUCACCAGAAUACCUACAGGAAAGCUCCAUUCCCCAGGCAUGUAAGAAAAUAUCAAGGUUACAUUAAUUUUGAAAGUGCUAAUCUGGAAUUGAUUUUCAGUUAAUGAGGAAAUGUUUUAUUUCUCUAGGCUUUCUAAAGUAUUGGAUGUUUUAAAUUUGUUUAAUCUACGUAUUUGUAUGUGCAUAGUUGAUAAUUUCUUUAUUUUUAAUAAACAUGGGCUAUAGAUUUUUCCCACUAGAAGUAAGCUACAUUAUAACAGUAAAUAUCUUUUUCAUUUUCACUGUUAUAUAUCCAGCACCUUUAGCAGGAACAAGUAGAUGCUCAAUAAUAUUAGCUAAAUGGAAGACUUAAGAAUAUAUAUUCAGAGUAUAAUUUCAUGCUUUCUGUUUAAAAAAAUAAGUCAGAGAUAUAUUUCAUGACAAUACUGAAAUAACUUCACUAAGAAAUGUAGAACACCGGACAUCCAGACAAAUUCAUGCACACAAACACACACACUAUUUUAAAGAAAUAAAGAAAAAUUUUUAGAUAGUGACAUAUAUCCUUAAGUAAAUAUGUAAUUAGUAGAGGCUUCUAUCAAAAUUCCAAUGCAAUUUUUUCAGGAAUUGAUCACAUUUUUGUAAAGCUCACGGGGAAUUUUCUGACUCAAGAUCACUGUUUUUUUACAUCUCCUUUCAUCCUAGAUCUCAUUAAAAUAGUAGAAUAAGUAUUUUUAAAAAUAAGCAUAAAACAUAGAAACAUUGGAAGGAUAAGAAUAAGCUAGAAGGAGAAUGGAAUACUGAAGAAUUUCAGAUAAAUAUGAUUUGCAUAAAUUAAUAGCAAAACUCAUUAGAACUGAGGAAUUAAUUCUACACAGGCAAAAAGGCAGACAUCUAAAACAACAAAAAUUUCCCAAAAGAAUUUUGGAAUCACAAGAUCAAGUCAAGCAAGUAUCAGAGAAGGACUGGGCCAUUUGUCAAGGACGAGAUUAGACCAACCAUUGCUUGACAAUCUGAGAGAAUAACUUGGGCAUUGCUCACCUAGUAGCUAAAAUAGUAUGGUGGUGGUUAAAAACACUGACUUGGGAGUCAAACUACGGGAUUAAGUACCACAUCUUCCACUUGUUAUCUAUGUAAACUUGGGCAAAUUUUAUAAUCUAGCAAAUUUCAAUUUAUCCAUUGGUAUAUAAGAGAUAAUUGUUCAUAUGGAGUUGUGAGUAUUAAAAAUGUUAAUAAAUGGAAAGUACUUAGAAUGGCACCUGAAAUAUAUUAAGUGCAGUAUUAGUGUUUGCUCUUGUUAUUUUUUUAAUGGGAUUUGAGUUUAAACUACAAGUAUGGCUCUCUGCAGUGAGAAUUUUAACAUAGGCUAUACCUAGAUUGGUCACUUGGGAAAGAAAAACACAAUAGAAUACCAAGUAAUUUAGGACUGCCAAGAGGGAAAGGAUUUUCUAUCACCCGGCCGGGCCCGGUGGCUCAUGCCUGUAAUUCCAGCACUUUAGGAGGCUGAGGUGGGCGGAUCACGAGGUCAGGAGAUCGAGACCAUCCUAGCUAACAUGGUGAAACCCCAUCUCUACUAAAAAUACAAAAAAUUAGCCGGCUGCGGUGGCCAGCGCCUGUAGUCCCAGCUACUUGGGAGGCUGAGGCAGGAGAAUGGCCUGAACCCGGGAGGCGGAGCUUGCAGUGAGCCAAGAUUGUGCCACUGCACUCCAGCCUAGGCAAUAGAGCGAGACUUCGUCUCAAAAAAAAAAAAAAAAAAAAAAAAAUACACCCCCCACACACCUCGCCCCAGUUGCACAAUGUGCACCCUCAUUAUUAGGAGCAAGCUUUCUGUAGCAAAUACCUGAACUUCACUAAAUGGUGAAUAAAAAUUCUUCCUCAUUCAAAUUCUCAUCCAUACAUGCCAGAGAUAAAUACUACUCUGCUUAUAUGACAAAUUACAUAUAUAAUAAAUAAUUAAAAAUAAGCAUUUUAUUCUGCCUAGCACAAAGAAACUGAAAUAGCAAACAGAAAAUUAGCCCACCCAAAGAAAUAAAAAGAGAAAACAGAAUUAUUUUAAUUGACUACUGAGAAAACGAACCCCACCAAAUAUUAAUUUAGAAAAAAGAAGUGAAUAGCAGAUUUGACUCAAUUAAAGUUAAAAUAAGUGAGAUAAAAGAAAGGACUUAAUUUUUUUAUAAUCACCAGAGAAAAAGUAUACAGAAAAGGUAUGUGAUAUAAUGGCUAGUUCAAGAAUUCCAACUAUUCGUUAGUAUAAUAACAAAAUAACAGAAUUGAGAGAAUGGGCAGAGAAAAUCAUCAGUCUAAUAGAAGGACAUUUUCCAAAAUAAAAGCUCCAGUCUUUGGAAAAAAGUUAUUGUUUGACAUUCAGGAUUAACACAAGAAAAAAAAGUUUGACAUUCAGGAUUAACACAAGAAAAAAAAUUCUGCAAGAAGUCAUAUCCUAGUAACAGCAAAACUAAGAAUUUGAACAAAACAAAAAUCAUAAAAGCUUUUUCAGGGAAGGGGUGUGUUUACCUUCUAAAGGCAAUGGUCAGUAAACUACAACUACAGAUAAUGGGCUACAUAUUUCUGUUAAUAAAAUUUCACUAGGACACAGACACACCCAUGAAUUUACUUAUUGUCUGUGGCUGUUUUUGCACUACAAAGGCAGAAUUGAGAACUUGUAACAGAGACCAUUUAACCACCCCUAAAAAUUCAAACCUAGUGUAUUUACUACCUGACGCUGAAGAAAAGUUUACCUACGGGGUUCUGAGGAAAGAUGAAUUAUGAGCUGCAAGACUAGGUGCAAGAAGAUAAUGAAAGAAGGCCUUUCAAGUUCUACAGAAAGUUUUGAAACUAGUGCACAAUAAAUACAACAUAAGUUGGAGAUAAACCAAGAAAAAUUGACAAAGCCAUAAUAAACUUGAGUGAUAUUAAUAAAUAGGUCCCUGAAACUAAAGGAAAUCAGGGAAAAUAGGUCAGUCUUCUCUAUUAGAUUCACUUCUGACAGAGGCCUUUGGUACAAUUGUCUCUGAUUACUCCUUGCAAACUACUGAUAUUUUGAGAAUGAGAUAUUGUGAAGAACUUCAGCCAUCUGACCCAAGUCUAUUGAUUCUCUCUCCCUUUUUGUCAAUCCCUAUUUUCAGGGCAUCUGAAUUUUUCUUCUGUCUCCAUUGUUAUGCUUAGCAAAUUUCCCCAAACGACUGGAUUUCUAUGAUGGCCUCAUGAUGAUUUUACUUCUACAUAUAUAUAAUCUAUUCUGCUCACCCAAGAACAGAUUCCCUUUGUUUCUUAAAUAUUAUUUGAACUCAAGUGGGUUGGAAAUACCUAUAGUACUCUAAGAACUCACACUUAGUUCCUUCUUGAGAAAAUAUUACUGUUUCAAUUUUCUUGGUCUCUGCUCUUUUCCUUGCACUCCUUUCUCCACUCAGCCUUGUCCCUCAUUGACACUCAGCACACUAAAAGGCUGACGUCCCCACAUAUUUUGAUCUCAUGUCAAUCCUCUGAUGGGUGCCAAUCUUAAUGGAAGUAUAUGAGGGAAAGGCAGGGAGGCACCACAUACUGAUUAACUAUGCUUUUUGAAUAAAAAUCUAUCACUUUGGAAAGCUUAACUUACACCAUUAAAAAUCAAUUAAAUGAACUUUUGAGUUGUGAAAUUUAAUUUUCUCUUACUAUAUACUGUUUCCUAAAAUUUUGUUUGUAAAAAUUAGAUCCUAUAUAAAAAUUGAGUCAAUUAGAUUGAAAGCUGGCUUCAAGAUGAUAAAGAAAACAUAGUAAUAAAUUUGGAGUCUUAAUUUGCAGAUCUAGCAAAUCUGUGGUCUGUUUUUCCUUGGCCUCUUCAUUAAUAUUUUACUGUAUGAAAUUGAAGUGAAUUAUCACAUACCAUAGGCAAUAUUGAAAUAGGAGGUGUUUCAAGCAGUGUAAAUGAGAGGAAAAUAAUUACAGAACAUUAAGUAUAAGGCAAAAAGUCUAAAAAUAAAAAACUAUCAAAUUGAGUAAAUCACCAUUAAUGAUUGUUUUGAAAAGAUUAUAAAAGUAAGCACCACUGAAAACCUUGGGUUUACCCAUGGCUUGCAGAUAUGUGAAUUAUGAGAUUUAUUAUAAUUAGAGCAAUUUAUUAUAAUAUCAACUAUGUGCUGGACUUUAUCUACUAUAUGCCUUAUCCUAUGUGUUCCUUAUAACAACCCUAGGUAAAAUCUUUUUAAAUCUCUAUUUUACCAACAACAUCAAACAACUAGAUAAAGAUGAAACCAGAAAUUUAAUUUUAAUGGUCUGAACCCAGAGUCCACAUUUUUAACCACUAUUUACAUACCUAUUAUUAGCUCAUAUUAUAUGCAUCAUGGUUAAUCCUUCUAUGAAGGGAAACAAGUUUCACACCUGAUUUGCUGCAAUAGAUUAUAGGCGUUGCUAUGGACUGAAACUUUUUGUCACCCUGAAAUGCAUACAUUGAAAUUCCAGCCCCCAUUGUGAUAAAAUUAGGAGGUGAAGCUUUUUACCAAUAAUUAGCUUAUGAGGAUGGAAUCCUUAUGAAUGGGAUUAUAAAAGGUAUCCCAAGAGCCAGGCAACGUAGCUUGUGCCUAUAAUCUCAGCUACUUGGGAGCUUAAGGUGGGAGGAUUCCUUAAGCCCAGGAAUUCUAGGCUGCAGUGAGCUAUGAUCAUGCCACUGCUCUCCAGCUUGGGGUGGCAAAGUGAGACUCUGUCUUGAAAAAAAAACAAAAAAAAACCCAAAACAGCAACAACAACAACUGUAGAGAGUUUUCAACCCCUCUUUUCCUCUUUUUACCAUAUGAGAUCUUAUAGCAAGAAGUUGUCAGUGUGCAAUCUGGAAGGAGGCCCUCACCAGAACUUGGCCUUGCUGUUUACUGAUCUUGGACUUUGAGUCUCCAGAACUGUGAGAAAUACUAAGUUGGUGCAAACGUAAUUGUGGUUUUUGCAUCAACCUAAUAAAAAACUGCAAUUAUGUUUGCAGAAACCUAAUAUAUUUCUGUUGUUUAUAAGCCACUCAGUCUAUGGUACUCUGUUAUAUAAGCCCAAACUGACUAAGACAGGUGUACAACAAGAUGUUGAACUUCUCAACUUUCAGGAAAACUUGAAGGGUUUUCAGUUUGUCAGAAUUCCUGGAAAUGUGUCUGUCAAUGAGAAGUACCCCAUAGAUAGCAGAGCACCGCACAGGCAGAUGAACACUCCAUGAUCUUCACAGACAGUGAGCAGAACAGGUACUUGCUGAUACUCAUUAAUAUCCUGGGCUUGGCCAAGAAAAUGCUCUAUUACCUGGAUAGCUACUCAACAAUUGUAAUAGAUUCAGAAUUCACUACUGCCCAUUACCCACAAGGAACUGGUGAUGCUGCUGAAGGGGGUUGGGUUUCAGGGAUCUGUAGAGCAUAACAAACAGGCAAACUGUCUCAUGAUACACAUGACUAUGGGUGGCACCUCCAAACUCUAUCGUUGAAUAUUGUAGUGGAUAGAAAAUGGUGGCAGUCUGUGCUCUCUCCUCUUGAAUCUGGGUGAAUUUGUGACUGUUUCAUCAACAGAAUGAAACAGAAGUGAUGCCUAGUGUCUGAGCCCAGGUAAUAAAAAACUAGCAGUCUCCACUUUCCUGUCUUUUGGAAUUGUAGCUCUUGGAACCCAGUCAUCAUUGUGAGAGAAGCCUGAGGAUCUCUAUGAAGAUGACUACAUAGAUGUAAACUAAGGCCCCUGGCUGACAGCACCUGGAUGAGCUUCCAGCCAGCAGCCAGUAUUAAGGUGUCAGCCAUGUAAAUGGUCUUCUUGAAAAUGGAUCCUUUAGUUGCACUUAAGCUAUUGUAGCUGAUACCACUGGGGUGGGGCUGAGGGGAGGGGAAUAAGCCAUCCUUGCUGAACCCUACCCAAAUUGCAAGUUUGCGAGAAAACUAAAUUAAUAUUAUUGCUUUAAGUUGUAAAAUUAAGGGUGGCUUUUUAUGUAGCAAUAGAAAACUGGAACUAAUAGUGCUAUUUGAACUCACCCCAGAGUUAAUUUCUCAGAAAGUAUACAAAACUUUGCAAAUAAAGGCUUCAUUUUACUGUGAAAUCAUUUAUAUGAAAAAUUCAGUUACAUUUAAAAUACAUUCACAUUAUAACAGUACAUUUAAUAUUUAUUAAUAAAAUAAGUUAUUCAACUGUAAAUAUAAUUCAAUUGAACAAUUUUGCAUGGUUCUAAAAUGCUUUGUAUGUCUUUCCUUCUUCUUUUCUUUUUUUGACAAAGUCUUGCUCUGUCACCAGGCUGGAGUGCAGUGGUGUGAUCUUGGCUCACUGCAACCUCCGCUUCCCAGGUUCAAGUGAUUCUCCUGCCUCAGCCUCCCGAGUAGCUGAGUCUACAGGCACAUGCCACCACUCCCAGCUAAUUUGUGUAUUUUUAGUAGAGAUGGGGUUUUACCAUGUUCUCCAGGAUGGUCUCAAUCUCUUGACCUUGUGAUCUGCCCGCUUUGGCCUCCCAAAGUGCUGGGAUUACAGGCAUGAGCCUCCACGCCCGGCCAAUGCUUUAUAUUUCUUAUGCACUUAUGCAGAGUUACAUAUUGCUGACAACUAACAAUAUUUUGAAAGGAUUAUUAUAAACAUGUAAGCAAACUUAAGACCUGAUGUUUUAAAAACCUCCAAAAUGUUAUGUUCAUGGAUCAAGCUCAAGCUGCUCAUGAAACUAUUUGGAAGUAUUAUACAAACUAAUACAGUAUUUUACCCAAGACUUGAAUUGUAUUUUUCUAAUAAAUAUAUAAUAUAAAGAUUACAUUUUGCCGAGCUCCACAUAAAUACCCACAAAUUGCCCCAUGUUUAAUCUCAUGUGCCAUACAUGAAAAAGUUUACAAAUUUCUGAUGUAAAUAAUGUUGUUCUCAUUUUAAAGCUUAGGAAACACACAUAGAAAAUCUAAGUACAUCACUUCAAAUCACACAAAUGGUAGGUUGUAAAAAGAGUUUGAACACAAUCAGUCUGUUUAAAUUUCAAGCCCAUGCUCUUUCUAGUACGUUUUUUGUUUUCUGAAUAAUUUAGCUUUGAGAAAAUCGGUUGACCCUUAUGUUACAGUAAUGUUUAAUAAUAUGAGUAUACAACUAGUUUUGAGCUGCUCAUGCAUCAAAAUUAAAAAUGAUAAUAAUAUAAACAUUUUAUCUUGUUGAGCCUAGAUUUAGUCAGUAUCUUUGUAGAUUUAGCAAUACCCUGCUUCACAUUGACCUGAUACUCAUUAGGCAGGGGAGGAUUUGCCUCUAGUAUAGUUUUGAUCAAAGCCAGUCACAAAGACAUUCAACCCAGGGAUGUAAGGUAAAUCCGCAAGGUAAUGCCUCCAAAUUUACACUGUUAAACCCUGGAUUGAAACAGCUUUUGUGUGAGCUUUGUUAACCUUAACAAAUAGCAUUUAUUCUGAGUACGCAACAGGAAAAAAAAAAAAGCAGCCCUUUGUGCAUGUAAUUCUGUUACAUUCUCUACUUGCAAAUUGAUUAUAUUCUCCUGCAUAGCAACACAAAAAUCAUAUUUUAUAUUGUCUUGUUCUUGAAAAUAUCAACUAAUUAUGAGAGUCAGUGUAGUAGCUAUAUUAAUUAAAACAAACCUAUUAUUUUAAAACAUCUAAUCACUUUCACACAGUUUUGGAAAUGAGAUAUCUUUCUAGAUUUAUUCCCUUUCAUUACUCCAAUUUAGGAUUACUGGUUGUUGGUGAUGGUAGCAGUGUUCAUGAUUCAUGGUGAUAGUUGCAGUGUGGCUGUGUAUUUGCGAUUCUGUAUAUGUGUGUAUGUUUCUGCUCUCCAAUUUAAUUUACCUGUCAUUUUGUUGUAUCUAUAUUUUCACUACAUCACAAAUAAGAUCUUAGUGAAUAAUAAGCAACAAUACAUGUUGACGAAUGAUUUGCAGAAGAGCAGGAUGAAGGGUGGGGAAUGUAUUAUGGAUUAAGCCUGUGGGUUUCUAUAGCUUAGUAGAAACUAGUUGUCAAAGUCACUACCUCUACAAGGACUUCUCUUGAGAAGGGCCAAAAAACAGAGCAUCUUUCGCCAAGAGGUGAAAUUUGAAUGGGAGAGGCCCUUACUCCUCUCGUUCUGACUUAACAAGUCUUUUUAUAAGACCAAAAAAAUGUUGAACCUAACUUACAAAAAUCCAUUGUUUUUUUUUUUUCGAGACGGAGUCUCACUCUGUUGCCCAGGAUGGAGUGCAGCGGCGAGAUCUCGGCUCACUGCAAGCUCUGCCUCCCGGGUUCACGCCAUUCUCCUGCCUCAGCCUUCUGAGUAGCUGGGACUACAGGCGCCCGCCACCACGCCCGGCUAAUUUUAUGUAUUUUUAGUAGAGACAGGGUUUCACCAUCUCUAUCUCCUGACCUCUUGAUCUGCCCGCCUCCGCCUCCCAAAGUGCUGGGAUUACAGGCGUGAGCCACAGCGCCCGGCCCAAAAAUCCAUUCUUAAUGGCUUUCUCUUCUGAUGCAAAAUCCUGAUUGCCUUCAAAUAUUACUAUUAGAUAGAAAUCUCCCCACCUUUAGCUGAAAGAGAUAAGGAGGUUUUGCACUGAGGAAACAAACAAACAAACAAGCAAACAACAUUCAUCAAUUUUUAAAAAAAGUAUGUAUUGAACUAUAGUCAGGUUCAAUGAGGAAAUGCAUUACAUUGUCACUAAACUGGCCUUAGUUGGAGAAAGAACACUGGCAGAUUAAUUAAAGUUAUUAGCGCUUAUGGUAGGAAACUGCAUGAUAUAUGUGAAAGAUCUUUUAGGGACUGGAAACACAGUGUAAAUUCAAACUCCUCCCAAAACUUUAACAAGGCUGGAUGAAAUGAAAGGAAUACUGUGAUUUCUACAAUUGACAACAGUGUCAGGCAUGCAGGAAACAAACAAAACCUUUUGAUGAAGGAAAAGUAACUUCUGGACAAAGUAUAAUUGGUUACAGGUAAACAGAUAUGUCAUCCAGGCAGAUAUGACAGUUUAUAGGAAAAAUAUAAUGUUAUGAUCUAAAAAAUGCAAGCCACAAACCUAUUGCCUGGGCAAUAAUUAGCCUGAAGUUGGGCUACUAAGGAGCUGGCUAAGCAGCAGUGAUAACACCAGAUACUGGAAGAAACUUCUGUGAUCAGAAACCAAUACAACUAGUGAACAAUUCACAGUAUUUCUAAAUCCGGGCACCAAGGAAGUUGUUUGGUUAGUCAUGAUGGAAGCCAGGAACAAAUAGAUCUCAAAUGUGUGAUAAUAAUUAUCAAGCGGAAUGUCUAGAAUAUUAUAGUGAGUGCCAAGAUUUCCAUCUAAGACAUUACCAACAUAGCAACUGAGGCAUGAAUUACAGGUUUUACACAAAAAAAGCAUUAUAAGAAUAAUACAUAUAAUAUAUUAACAGUUCAAAAGUGAAACAAACAUUUAUGAAUGGGCUACUCAGAUUUAAAAUAAAAUAUUGCCUGUUCAUUGAAUGCUUUCUGGAUUUUACUUUCUAAUUGUAUACCUCUCUUUCUUUCUUAAGAUAACUACUAUCAUAUAUUUGUUUUGGACUGCAUGUUAAUAAAAUUAUAUAAUAUGUAUUUUAUUAACUUCAUAAUAAAAAUACUUUUUAAAAUAAUAUAUUGAGAUUAAUCCCUGGUGGAUUGUGCAACUGUAUUUCAUUCAUUUUCACUGCUUUGCAUUCAAUUCAAUCCAUGUACAGCGUACCCAUCUGUUUUACUGUCAAUUGAUAUUUUUUUCUAGAUUUUUAAAAUGACAAAGCAGCAAUGAACAUUGCAACUUUAAAAUUUUUGGACCUGUUUCCUGGUUCACAUGUGUUAAGAGUUUCUUCAGAGUGUGUACCUUGAAGUGGAAUUAUUGGAUUGUUUUGUUUUUGCAUGUGAAACUUUAUUACAUAUUGCCAAAAGACUUUCAAAAAUAAUAGUGCCAACUUGCAGUUUAAGAAGCCCCAUGUGAAGAGACUUACUGCAUGUACAUACAACAUUUGGUGUUCUCAAACCUUUUAAUUUUUACUGUUCUAGAAAAUAUUCCUUUUUAAAAUUGUAUAUUUCUUUGAUUUUUUAAUAAUGAUAUUUGCUAUCCUUUUAAUAGGGUUUUUUUUGGCCAUUAUUUGUUAUUCUUCUCUGAAUUGACUUCUUAUAUAUUUUGUUCAUUUUUCUUCUUUUUUUUUUUCUUGAGAUGGCG